rnacentral:lncRNA from 1 species
UGAGAGCAAAAUAGCAAGGGUAUUUGCAAGCAGUUCGUGUGUAAUUCAAGCAUGUAAACCUGAAGCUACAUGAACCAGAUUGAAGAGCUAAUUCCAUAAAGAGUAUUAUGUGACUUUCUUUAUUUAUAGUUCAAUUAUAGUAGGUGUCUUUAUAUUGUACUUUUUAGCUUUAUCUAGAAGCAAUUGUAAUAGGUACUUUGAGUAUUCAAGUUAGAGUUAACUUGAAUUUGUGGCAACAGUUAGAGGCUGGUUGCAACGACGGGAUUAUAGGUAAUCCUUGAAUUUACAACGAGUUCUGUAAAUGUUGUUUUGGCUCAGUGAUUUAGUGAAG